rnacentral:rRNA from 1 species
CACGUGGGGAACCUGCCCCAUAGUCUGGGAUACCACUUGGAAACAGGUGCUAAUACCGGAUAAGAAAGCGGAUCGCAUGAUCAGCUUUUAAAAGGCGGCGUAAGCUGUCGCUAUGGGAUGGCCCCGCGGUGCAUUAGCUAGUUGGUAGGGUAAAGGCUUACCAAGGCGAUGAUGCAUAGCCGAGUUGAGAGACUGAUCGGCCACAUUGGGACUGAGACACGGCCCAAAACUCCUACGGGAGGCAGCAGAG